rnacentral:rRNA from 1 species
ACUCCAGGUCAGGCGGGAUAACCCGCUGAGUUUAAGCAUAUCAAUAAGCGGAGGAAAAUAAUCUUAAUAGGAUUCCCUUAGUAACGGCGAGGGAACUGGGAACAGCCCAGCCUUAGAAUCGGGUGGCUCCGUCAUCUGAAUUGUAGUUUAGAGAAGCUUCCUCAGUGGCGGACCGGGCCUAGGUCCCCUGGAAGGUGGCGCCAUAGAGGGUGAGAGCCCCAUUGUGCCCGGACUCUUUUGCACCAUGAGGCACUAUCUACGAGUUAGGUUGUUUGGGAAUGCAUCCCAAAUCGGGUGGUGAUUUCCGUCCAAGGCUAAAUACGGGCGAAAAAUCGAUAGCGAACAAGUACCGCGAGGGAAAGAUCAAAAGGACUUUGAAAAGAGAGUCAAAGAGUGCUUGAAAUUAUCAGGAGGGAAGAGGAUGGGGGCUGACAAUGUGCCCCGAUCGGAUGUAGAAUGGGGACGAGCCGGUUCGCUGAUUGGCUCGGAGCGUGGAACAGCGUGGAUUGGGGGGGCGGCCAAAUCCCGAGCUCUCGAUACGAUCGUAGAACACUGUCUCCUUGAUUGUGGCAGGCAGCGCGUGCCUCCGGCAUGCUUCAACAUCCACGCGCUAUAGACUCUGGAUUGUGGGAUCCCCAUUUGACCCAUCUUGAAAAACGGACCAAGUAGUCUGACAUGUGUGCGAGUCAAUGGGAGAGUAAACCCAUAAGGUGUAAGGAAGCUGAUUGGUGGUAUCCCCCCGUGGGGUGCACCGCCGACCGACCUCGAUCUUCUAAGAAGGGUUCGAGUGUGAGCAUACCUGUCGGGACACGAAAGAUGGUGAACUAUGCCUGAUCGGGGAAAAGCCAGAGAAAACUCUGGUGAAGGCCCGCAACGAUACUGACAUGCUAAUCGUUCAUCGUACUUGGGUGCAGGGCUUGCGGCUGCUUUGUCGAGCCAUGCCACGGAAUCAAGAGCUCUAAGUGGGCAAUUUUUGGUAAGCAGAACUGGCGAUGCGGGAUGAACCGGAAGUCGGGUUAUGGUGCCAAACUGCGCGCUAACCUAGAUCCCACAAAGGGUGUUGGUCGAUUAAGACAGCAGGAUGGUGGUCAUGGAAGUCAAAAUCCGCUAAGGAGUGUGUAACAACUGAACUAUCGAAUAAACUUACCCCAAAAAUGGAUGACGCUUAAGCGCGCGACCUACACCCGAUCGUCGAGGAAAUUUCUCAGCCCCGAUGAGUAGGAGGGCGCGGCAGUCGCUGCAAAACCUUAGGCGUGAGUCCAGGAAAAGCGGACGUCGGUGCAGAUAUUGGUGGUAGUAGAAAAUAUUCAAAUGAGAACUUUGAAGGCCGAAGAGAGAAAAGGUUCCAUGUGAACGGCACUUGCACAUGGGUUAGUCGGUCCUAAGGGUCGGGGGAUCCCCGACAGAUAGCGCAUUUCGCGCGUACUCCAAAAGUAAAUCGGGUUAAAAUUCUUGGACCAGGAAGUGGAGGUCGACUUCAACGUUAAGAAGUCCAUAGACAUCGCCGAAAGACUCGGGAAGAGUUAUCUUUUCUAUUUAACAGCCUACCCAAGAAUUGGCUCAGAUGAAGGUAGGGUCCAGCGCUGGAAGAGCACCGCACGUCAUGUGGUGUCUGGUGGACUAUCGGCGACCAUUGAAAUUCCAGAGGACCAAAUGCCGUCCAUGUCGGGUCGUACUCAUAACCAUAUCAGGUCUCCAAGGGAAACAACCUCUGGUCGAUGGAACAAUGUAGGCAAGGGAAGUAUACAAAAUGGAUCUGUAACUUCUGGAAAAGGAUUGGCAUUGAGGGUUGGCACGGGUAUCCCAGUCCCGAACCCGUCAUCUGUCGGUGGACUACUCGAGCUGCUUUCGCAGUGAGAGCGGGUCACUGCAUACUGGUCGGGGGACGGACUAGGAACGGUUCCUUCGGGGGCCUUCCCCGCGCGUCGAAUAGCCAACUCAGAACUAGUAUGGACAAGGGGAAUCCGAUUGUUUAAUUAAAACAAAGCAUUGCGAGGGUCCCAAUGGAUGUUUACGCAUUGUGGUUUCUGCCCAGUGCUCUGAAUGUCAAAGUGAAGAAAUUCAACCAAGUGCGGGUAAACAGUGAGAGUAACUAUGACUAUCUUAAGGUAGCCAAAUGCCUCAUUAUCUAAUUAGUGACACGCAUGAAUGGAUUAAUGAGAUUCCCACUAUCCCUGUCUACUCUCCAGCGAAACCAUAGCCAAGGGAACGGGCUUGGCAAAAUCAGUGGGGAAAGAAGACCCUCUUGAGCUUGACUCUACUCUGACUUUGUGAAAUGUAUUGAGAGGUGUAGGAUAAGUGGGAGACGAAAGGCGAAAGUGAAAUGCUACUACUUUUAACGUUAUUUUACUUAUUCCGUAAAUUGGAAGCGGCGCACUACCCUUCUUUUUAGACCCAAGGCUCGCUCUGCGGGCUGAUCCGGGCGGAAGACAUUGUCAGGUGGAGAGUUUGGCUGGGGCGGUACAUCUGUUAAAAGAUAAUGCAGGUGUCCUAAGAUGAGCUCAAUGAGAACAGAGAUUUCGUGUGGAAUAGAAGGGUAAAAGCUCGUUUGAUUCUAAUUUCCAAAAUGAAUACAAACCAUGAAAGCGUGGCCUAAUGAUCCUCUAGACCUUCGAAAUUCGAAGGUAGAGGUGUUAGAAAAGUAUUACCACAGGGAUAACUGGCCUGUUGUAGGCAAGCGUUCAUAGCGACGUUUCUUUUUCAUCCGUCGGUGUUGGCUCUUCCUAUCAUUGUGAAGCAGAAUUCACUAAGUGUUGUACUGUUCACCCGCUAAUAGGGAACGUGAGCUGGGUUUAGACCGUCAUGAGACAGUUUAGUUUUACCCUACUUAUGACAGUGUCGCAGUAGUAAUUAAACCUAGUACGAGAGGAAAUGUUUAUUCACACAAUUUGUCAUCGUGCUUGGUUGAAAACCCAGUGGUGCAAAGCUACCAUGUGCUAGAUUAUGUCUGAAUGCCUCUAAGUCAGAAUCUGGGCUAGAAGCGACGCAUGCUCCCGCUAUCCACUUGCUGACCCGUAGUAGGGGCCUCGGCCCCCAAGGGCACAUGUCGUUUGCUAAGCCACCGCGAUGGAAAAGUCGCGGUGGCCGCCUUGAAGUAUAAUUUCUGUUAAGCGUUGGGUAGAAUUCUUUGUAGACGACUUAAAUAUGCGACGGGGUAUUGUAAGUGGAAGAGUGGCCUUGCUGCUACGCUCAACUGAGAUUCAUCCGUUUGUCACUCUGGUUCGU